rnacentral:misc_RNA from 1 species
UUCUCUUUCUUUUUGUUAGUUUCCGUCUCUUUCGCUCCUCCCUUCUUGUCCUCUCGGUAAGCCGCCCUUUCCACCACUCGAUCCGUCGUUGUCGUGCUAUCAAAGUUGCGACCCGUCCGGCGGUCGCUUCCUUCUUGGUCCCCGGUGGCGCGCGUUCACCGCGAAGAUUGCAAUCGUGACUCCGUCGUUGAUCGUCAUGAUACGCAGCGAGACGUCGUGCGCCGUUUGAGUGUAUCCCGAGGUGUUGCCCGUGAAAACGUGCACCCGCGCCAAGUGAACCGCGCUGGUACCCCUCCAUCGGCCAGCCGCGGCCGGUGCGCGUUUCUCUCGUGCGGCGCACCGUACCCCAUUUCCGUGAUUUCCACCUCCUGGAGGAUGUAAACGCGCGUAAUCUCGUCGGACGGGCUCCAUCCCAUCCGCCCUUUUCGAGCUUUAAUGAGGAUCUAGGAUAGGAUAGGCUUGCAUCCUCGAAUUAUCGGUGGGCAUGGAACGCCGUGACGUCAUACUGACAGCAGUUUUCGGAACAGUUGGUGCUCU